GACGAGCCACACAAACGUUAUUCGGAAUCACUGGGCUUAAAGGGUGCGUAGGCGGCGCAGCAAGUUGGGUGUGAAAUCCUACAGCUUAACUGUAGAAGUGCACUCAAAACUGCUGUGCUCGAGGGAGACAGAGGUGAGCGGAACUGAGGGUGGAGCGGUGAAAUGCGUUGAUAUCCUCAGGAACACCGGUGGCGAAAGCGGCUCACUGGGUCUCUUCUGACGCUGAGGCACGAAAGCUAGGGGAGCGAACGGG
rnacentral:rRNA from 2 species